CGGUUGGAUCUGGGAGAGUUUGUGCCUUUGGAGCCGUCUCUGCCUUGGGAGCUCCAAAUCAUUAUUUUCUCAGUACCUUUAUUCUGUAGCCUCUCUUCUCAACCCGCUCCUGCUCUGUUUAUUGAUGUUUGUGAACUAAUUUUAGCAACUCAUCAGGAGUUGCACUCAGGGUAAUUUUACACCCCUGAAACCUGGCAGACACAAGCUGCAGAAUUUGCGGAAAGAGCUGCGUGGGUCACAAUUUACAACCUUCGUUGAUGGAAACCCAGGCUCCAAGGACAACCUGCUCAGGAGCAGCAUGGCACACAAUGGUCUGGACCCUCCUCUGUCAACCAACAAUCAAGAAGAUAAUCCACAGACACCCCCACAGGCCAAUGUGAUGAAGGUUCCCUGGGGUUGUGGCUUGCAGGCUGACUGUCCUUUGCUUUAUGUCUAAUAUCCACGUAUGCAUUUAUAUUACGUGCAUGUCUUUGCCUACUCGCCCUCACUGUUGAUGGCAAGUCCAUUGUCAUGUUGUCACAGCAUCCAUCACUGAUAUUAGAACUGGAUUCUUCAGGUUACCAAUGCAGAAUGAAGACCGGCAUCUCUCCAGGAGACAUUCAGGCCUCCAGUGCUAAACUAGGACCUCUGAGACAGCCAGUCUCGUGGACUGGACAACUCCCAGAUUCUCAGCUACUCUAUUGUGAGACGGGCAUUGUUGCACUCCCUAGACCAUAUCCUGUAAGCCAAGUUAAUAUAUUAGCAAAUCCCAUCUAGAGAGAUGCUACUUUAGGGAACCAUAUCUGGUUUGAGAUGGUAACACAAGAAUGUGGCUAGAAUUGUGAGGUUUUCUGUGAGCACUAAGAGGAACCUGGCAAAGCGUCUAAGAAGAAAUGUUUCUGUAAGUAGUGUUGCUAAAAGAGACUGUCUUGCAAGUAAAGUUUGUGGAAAGAAGUUUUGCUGUCAUUUUUUCUGAUGCUCUAUAGCUUUACUCUGGCUUCUAGAAUUCUGUGAGUUACAAAGGGCAGGACAUCAUGACUUGUUGAAUGCUGAUUGCUUCACCUUUCUCUGACCAUUACUGGAAAUAAAUUAAGAUAAAACUGCA